rnacentral:rRNA from 1 species
AGAGUUUGAUCCUGGCUCAGGACGAACGCUGGCGGCGUGCUUAACACAUGCAAGUCGAGCGGAAAGGCCCUUCGGGGUACUCGAGCGGCGAACGGGUGAGUAACACGUGAGUAACCUGCCCUUGGCUCUGGGAUAGCUCCGGGAAACCGGAAUUAAUACCGGAUAUGACCUUGGAAGACAUCUUCUGGGGUGGAAAGAUUUUUCGGCCAGGGAUGGGCUCGCGGCCUAUCAGCUUGUUGGUGGGGUAACGGCCUACCAAGGCGACGACGGGUAGCCGGCCUGAGAGGGCGACCGGCCACACUGGGACUGAGACACGGCCCAGACUCCUACGGGAGGCAGCAGUGGGGAAUAUUGCGCAAUGGGCGGAAGCCUGACGCAGCGACGCCGCGUGGGGGAUGAAGGCCUUCGGGUUGUAAACCCCUUUCGGCAGGGACGAAGCGGAAGUGACGGUACCUGCAGAAGAAGCGCCGGCUAACUACGUGCCAGCAGCCGCGGUAACACGUAGGGCGCAAGCGUUGUCCGGAAUCAUUGGGCGUAAAGAGCUCGUAGGCGGUUUGUCGCGUCUGCUGUGAAAACUGGGGGCUUAACCCCCAGCUGGCAGUGGAUACGGGCAGACUAGAGGUAGGUAGGGGAGAAUGGAAUUCCCGGUGUAGCGGUGAAAUGCGCAGAUAUCGGGAGGAACACCGGUGGCGAAGGCGGUUCUCUGGGCCUUACCUGACGCUGAGGAGCGAAAGCGUGGGGAGCGAACAGGAUUAGAUACCCUAGUAGUCC